UACGUAUGGUGCGAGCGUUGCCCGGAUUUAUUGGGCGUAAAGGGCGCGUAGGCGGUCACGCACGUCCGUUGUGAAAUCGCUCGGCUCAACUGGGCGGGGUCAGCGGAUACGGCGUGGCUGGAGCAAGCUAGGGGGCAAUGGAAUUCCCGGUGUAGUGGUGGAAUGCGUAGAUAUCGGGAGGAACACCAGUGGCGAAGGCGGUUGCCUGGAGCUUUGCUGACGCUGAUGCGCGAAAGCGUGGGGAGCGAUCCGG
rnacentral:rRNA from 1 species